rnacentral:rRNA from 1 species
AGUGAACGCUGGCGGUAGGCCUAACACAUGCAAGUCGAACGGCAGCACAGUAAGAGCUUGCUCUUACGGGUGGCGAGUGGCGGACGGGUGAGGAAUACAUCGGAAUCUACUUUUUCGUGGGGGAUAACGUAGGGAAACUUACGCUAAUACCGCAUACGACCUACGGGUGAAAGCAGGGGAUCUUCUGACCUUGCGCGAUUGAAUGAGCCGAUGUCGGAUUAGCUAGUUGGCGGGGUAAAGGCCCACCAAGGCGACGAUCCGUAGCUGGUGUGAGAGGAUGAUCAGCCACCGUGGAACGGAGACAGGGUCCAGACUCCUACGGGAGGCAGCAGUGGGGAAUAUUGGACAAUGGGCGCAAGCCUGAUACAGCCAUACCGCGUGGGUGAAGAAGGCCUUGGGGUUGUAAAGCCCUUUUGUUGGGAAAGAAAAGCAGCAGGUUAAUACCCCGCUGUUCUGACGGUACCCAAAGAAUAAGCACCGGCUAACUUCGUG